ACGCUGGCGGCGCGCCUAACACAUGCAAGUCGAACGAGAGAUGAGGAGCUUGCUCUUCAAAUCGAGUGGCGAACGGGUGAGUAACGCGUGAGGAACCUGCCUCAAAGAGGGGGGACAACAGUUGGAAACGACUGCUAAUACCGCAUAAGCCCACGACCCGGCAUCGGGAAGAGGGAAAAGGAGCAAUCCGCUUUGAGAUGGCCUCGCGUCCGAUUAGCUAGUUGGUGAGGUAACGGCCCACCAAGGCGACGAUCGGUAGCCGGACUGAGAGGUUGAACGGCCACAUUGGGACUGAGACACGGCCCAGACUCCUACGGGAGGCAGCAGUGGGGAAUAUUGCACAAUGGGGGAAACCCUGAUGCAGCGACGCCGCGUGGAGGAAGAAGGUCUUCGGAUUGUAAACUCCUGUUGUUGAGGAAGAUAAUGACGGUACUCAACAAGGAAGUGACGGCUAACUACGUG
rnacentral:rRNA from 1 species